rnacentral:ncRNA from 2 species
ACAGUAAGCUAAGGGUGCUCACUUUUAUUCGUGGGCUGAGAACAAACCUUCUGACCUGAUCUGGAUAAUACCAGCGUAGGAAUUGACCAAGAAGCCAAGU